rnacentral:rRNA from 1 species
UACGUAGGUCCCGAGCGUUGUCCGGAUUUAUUGGGCGUAAAGCGAGCGCAGGUGGUUUAUUAAGUCUGGUGUAAAAGGCAGUGGCUCAACCAUUGUAUGCAUUGGAAACUGGUAGACUUGAGUGCAGGAGAGGAGAGUGGAAUUCCAUGUGUAGCGGUGAAAUGCGUAGAUGUAUGGAGGAACACCGGUGGCGGAAGCGGCUCUCUGGCCUGUAACUGACACUGAGGCUCGAAAGCGUGGGGAGCAAACAGG